rnacentral:rRNA from 1 species
UACGGGAGGCAGCAGUGGGGAAUAUUGGGCAAUGGGCGAAAGCCUGACCCAGCCACGCCGCGUGAGUGAUGAAGGCCUUCGGGUCGUAAAGCUCUGUGGGGAGGGACGAACAAACUGGGUGCUAAUCAACCCGGUCCUGACGGUACCUCCUUAGCAAGCACCGGCUAACUCC